GACGAACGCUGGCGGCGUGCUUAACACAUGCAAGUCGAACGGAGAAUUUUACUUCGGUGAAAUUCUUAGUGGCGAACGGGUGAGUAACGCGUAGACAACCUGCCUCUUAGAUGGGGACAACAUCGCGAAAGCGGUGCUAAUACCGAAUGAAGUGGAGCUUCCGCAUGGAAGCAUCACCAAAGGUGGCCUCUAUUUAUAAGCUACCACUGAGAGAUGGGUCUGCGUCUGAUUAGCUAGUUGGCGGGGUAAUGGCCCACCAAGGCGACGAUCAGUAGCCGGUCUGAGAGGAUGAACGGCCACAUUGGGACUGAGACACGGCUCAAACUCCUACGGGAGGCAGCAGUGGGGAAUCUUCCGCAAUGGACGAAAGUCUGACGGAGCAACACCGCGUGAGUGAAGAAGGUUUUCGGAUCGUAAAGCUCUGUUGUUUGAGACGAAUGUGCAGACUUUGAAUAAGGGUUUGUAAUGACGGUAUUAAACGAGAAAGCCACGGCUAACUACGUGCCAGCAGCCGCGGUAA
rnacentral:rRNA from 1 species